rnacentral:rRNA from 1 species
UACGGAGGUGGCAAGCGUUGCUCGGAAUCACUGGGCGUAAAGGGCGCGUAGGCGGCUUUGCGUGUCUUUCGUGAAAUCCCUCGGCUCAACUGAGGACGUGCGGAAGAAACUGCAGGGCUGGAGUCCGGGAGAGGAGGGUGGAAUUCCCAGUGUAGCGGUGAAAUGCGUAGAUAUUGGGAGGAACACCGGUGGCGAAGGCGGCCCUCUGGACCGGUACUGACGCUGAUGCGCGAAAGCGUGGGGAGCAAACGGG